rnacentral:lncRNA from 1 species
AGAGUGUUUAGGUAACAGACCUCCUUUUAGUGGACAGUAAAACAGGUCUAACUCACAGGAGGCAUUUCUGAAGGACACAUGAUUUUCUACAUUAUUCAGCUCUAUUUAAAAGUUGCCUGUUUCACUAGAUUUCUAGUUGUUGUUAUCAUUACUAAUAACGUUAAAAUAAUGUUGCAUCAUAAAACGCAAGUUUGCUUGCAGCUCCGUUAUUCUUCUCAUCCAAAGCCCACUAACCCUGUUACAACAUUCGAUUAACAAUCAGAAGUCAUCUGAAUCAGAAGUCAUUAGAUUUCCUACAGUUCAUUAAGCUUCCAAGAAUCUGGUUUCACAGAAUCACAGAAUGAUUGCAGUUGGAAGGGACCUCUGGAGUUCAUCUCGUCCAACUUGUCCCUGUUCAAGCAGGGUGACCAAGAGCAGGUUGCCCAAGACCAUGUCCAGGCAGCUUUUAGAGAUCUCCGAGGAAGGAGACUCCACAACCUGACUGAGCAAUCUGUUAGUGAUUCAUCACCUGCUCAGUAAAGAAGUGCUUCCUGAUAGAUGGAACCACUUUUGUUACAGUCUAUGCCCAUUAGCCUUUUACCUUCUUUCAACUUUUUCAUGAAGAAGAAAAUUAAAAUAAAAUAAAAUAAAAUAAAAUAAAAUAAAAUAAAAUAAAAUAAAUAAAAUUCCAGUUCCACAAGAUGUCAGUCUUUCAAGGCAGUUGUAUGCAACAGGGAAAUGAGGGAUGACUUACUUCUUUAUCAAAGGAAACAGCAGGGGACUAAGGGAACUAAGAAUGGCUGCAGACCUGCUCAUGGUGUUGGGUCUCAGCUGGUCUUGCUGUGAAUGGCUUCCAGUGUGGGAUAUAUAGCUGCUUGCCAUGUUGCCUACAUGCUAUUGGAGAAAGAAGAUGAAGAGCAUACAACCUGUCCUUGGUGCUACAGUGGGAACUAAUCUUCAUCUGUCAAGGGAGAAGAGCGAACGUUCAAGACAGAGAGCACUGAGUACUACAUCAGUGAUGAAUGGACUUCCUUUGAAGUGGUCUGAUCAGCCCAGUGAUUCUACAUCAGGAGGUUCUGGGCUGCCAAAGGACUUAUCCAGAGAGGGUGCAAUGGUCUGCAGAGAGCUGUAG